CCCAUAUUAGCGACAAUUCUCUUAAGUGUUGCUGAUAGCCGGCUAGCUAGCUAGCGCCGCUAGCUUAGCUAGCUAGCGCCCCUUCGUGAAAAACCACCCAGGCUUGGCUGACAGUGAGGUGGCUAAAAUUUGUUUAAUCGCCUGAUCGCUCGGCAAGGGUCUGUGUCUUAGCUGGACUUAUUUUUCGUUUAUAUGGGCCGAUGAUGCUGGUCGAUGUGGAAAAAAUAACUGAGUUGUUUGGUGGUGGAGCUACAACAGAGGGCGGCUAUCCACCGGUGUGUGACAGAAAGGACAUGCCGCGAACGACACAUACAAGGCGGUGAGGCUACCGCCGAUCGUCCGGCGAUUGCUAACGCGGUGGUCAAUCAUGGAUCAGGGAAAGCGAAGGCAGGAGCGUGAGGUGAACUGAAUUUCAGGUAAGAAGUUAUGACCUGCACUCUAUUUGGGUCAGAUAUAAACCGAGUUUAGGUGUAGUUUAUUUAGCAGCAGUUCUCUUAUGUGUUGCUGAUAGCCGGCUAGCUAGCUAGCUAGCGCCGCUAGCAUAGUUAGCUCGCGCCGCUAGCAACCCUUCGUGAAAAAGCACCCAGGCUUGGCUUAUAUUGAGGCGGGUGAAACUCGUGUCAGCACCCGGUCGCUCUCUAUUUGGGUCAGAUAUAAACCGAGUUUAGGUGUAAUUUAUUUUCGUUGACCUUUUACAAUCGUACUGCCACGGGAGUUUAUAUACAGCUGUGUGCGCACUAAGUUACUGACGUUGGACUUUAUUUUAUUCAUUAGGGUUAGUUCAUAGAGUUGCCGUGCCGUACAAACGGAAUCGUCCCACAUUCAGAGAAAACAUUAUGAUUUAUUCUGUCGUUACGAAGCCUCCCCUGUCAUUCUCUCGCGUGUUGAAACGUCAAUCAUGAUAACUGAUCAAUGAUCGGCUGUUCGCUCUUAUUUAUCGCGCUAAACAACAGCAGCACGUUUAAGCUUGAUCAGCUGUUGUUAGAAUUCUUUUGAUUUUAAUUUCUAGUAUCAGCUGAUGUUUGCUGGAGCAUGAAGAUGAAAUCAGGAGAUGUCCUUACUGAAUCAUCAGAGCUGAACUGGUGAUGGAGAAACAGGUUUACACUUUAGGUGACAUGAAUGAGUUGAAG
ensembl:lncRNA